rnacentral:rRNA from 1 species
GGGAAUCUUNCGCAAUGGGCGAAAGCCUGACGGAGCAACGCCGCGUGAGUGAUGAAGGUCUUCGGAUCGUAAAACUCUGUUAUUAGGGAAGAACAAAUGUGUAAGUAACUAUGCACGUCUUGACGGUACCUAAUCAGAAAGCCACGGCUA